rnacentral:rRNA from 1 species
AUUGAACGCUGGCGGCAUGCCUUACACAUGCAAGUCGAACGGCAGCACGGGUGCUUGCACCUGGUGGCGAGUGGCGAACGGGUGAGUAAUACAUCGGAACGUACCUUAUCGUGGGGGAUAACGCAGCGAAAGCUGUGCUAAUACCGCAUACGCCCUGAGGGGGAAAGCGGGGGAUCGCAAGACCUCGCGCGAUUAGAGCGGCCGAUGCCUGAUUAGAUAGUUGGUGGGGUAAAAGCCCACCAAGGCGACGAUCAGUAGCUGGUCUGAGAGGCAGAUCGGCAACACUGGGACUGAGACACGCGCCAGACUCCUACGGGAGGCAGCAGUGGGGAAUUUUGGACAAUGGGGGCAACCCUGAUCCAGCAAUGCCGCGUGAGUGAAGAAGGCCUUCGGGUUGUAAAGCUCUUUUGUCAGGGAAGAAACACCGGCUCUAACACAGUCCGGGAAUGACGGUACCUGAAGAAUAAGCACCGGCUAACUACGUGCCAGCCGCCGCGGUAA